GAUGAACGCUAGCGGCAGGCUUAAUACAUGCAAGUCGAGGGGCAGCAGGACUGUAGCAAUACAGUUGCUGGCGACCGGCAAACGGGUGCGGAACACGUACACAACUUUCCUUUAAGUGGGGAAUAGCCCGGGAAACCCGGAUUAAUACCCCGUAACAUUAUGAAGUGGCAUCAUUUUAUAAUUAUAGCUCAGGCGCUUAAAGAUGGGUGUGCGGCUGAUUAGGUAGUUGGCGGGGUAACGGCCCACCAAGCCUACGAUCAGUAACUGGUGUGAGAGCACGACCAGUCACACGGGCACUGAGACACGGGCCCGACUCCUACGGGAGGCAGCAGUAAGGAUAUUGGUCAAUGGACGCAAGUCUGAA
rnacentral:rRNA from 1 species